rnacentral:lncRNA from 1 species
UUUUUUUUUCCCUUUUGCAAAAACUUUUUCUCUCUCCAGCCGCUGGCGCGCCGCCGCUCUUCCCGCUCGCCCCUCACCUCCCUUCUAUUUCCCUCCCUCUUGCCGUUCUGGAGGAUGAGGCGGGGUAGCUGGAAGCAAGAGAAGGGGUGCCGGGCUUAUUGCACCCCCAGGACCCCCAGGAUCCUCCCCCUCCCUUGAGGGACCCUAUACUGCUUACGCCCCCCCCCCCGCCCCGGCUGAACACGCUGCUGUUGGCCUCACCCUUUGGAUGGAACUUGCAGCGGCCGGGACAGAGUUGCGGUUUGGGGCAAAUCAAGUUGGGUUGGGGGCUCUGGAAGAAGGUGAGGAGUCUAUGGAGCAUAAAAGCAAGGAGCAGCGGCUGAGGCUCUGGGUGCAGGGUGUGGUUCACGAGGUCACCAAGGAGCCCUGGGACUGAAGCCCCU